UGGAGCCAGCGGUGGAAAAGUUCCUGGAACUUUGGGGGAACUUCGAUUCCCGUCGAUUUGGUGGACGAUUGCUGGAGAGGAGGGGCUGAGGAUGUAGCCAAGGAAGGAGCGCAUCUCUGGGCAAGAGGAAUUUGGUGGAGGUAGAGGGAUGGUGGAGGAAUCGGCUAGGGAACGAAGGUGUCUCAAGAACUCGGUCAUGGGAAAAGCUCCU
rnacentral:lncRNA from 1 species